CCUACGGGUGGCUGCAGUGGGGAAUAUUGGGCAAUGGGCGGAAGCCUGACCCAGCAACGCCGCGUGAAGGAAGAAGGCUCUCGGGUUGUAAACUUCUUUUAUGAGGGACGAAAGAAAUGACGGUACCUCAUGAAUAAGCCACGGCUAACUACGUGCCAGCAGCCGCGGUAAUACGUAGGCUGCGAGCGUUAUCCGGAUUUAUUGGGUUUAAAGGGUGCGUAGGCGGAGCGUUAAGUCAGUGGUAAAAUUGAGGGGCUCAACCCCUCCCCGCCAUUGAAACUGGCGCUCUUGAGUGGAAGAGAAGUAUGCGGAAUGCGUGGUGUAGCGGUGAAAUGCAUAGAUAUCACGCAGAACCCCGAUUGCGAAGGCAGCAUGCCGGCUUCCUACUGACGCUGAAGCACGAAAGCGUGGGGAUCGAACAGGAUUAGAUACCCUGGUAGUC
rnacentral:rRNA from 1 species